rnacentral:lncRNA from 1 species
UUGCUAAUUAAUGAAACGGAGCUGCUACAAAUAGGUGAAAUAAUAUUUGUAUACUUUUCUCAAAUGAGAAUAAGGAGGAAAAAAAAAAAGGAAAGUAUGCAAGUAAAAGAUGAUUUUGAUGAUACAUGUACAAAAAUCAUUGAGAAUAACAAUCAUAAGAAUAUCAUUGCAUAAAACUUCGAUGCACCACAGUAUAUGACUCGUCACUCGUCAGUAUUACAUGGUGGAUAUCACCAAGGCAAGAUCAAGACUGUGUCCUAUACCAUGAUCCGGACAAAAUAUGAUGCAUUUGAUACCAACAUUUUUUCUUUGUUCCUUUUCUUUUUACAAAGUAAAUUGUAACGUCGUUCAUCGAGAAUGUAACCCGGACAUUCAGCUAUCAUGUACAUAAUCUCAACUAGCAUUAGUUAGCAACUCCAUGGGACAUAGACAUGGUCACAGAUGCAAUGUGUAUUUAUGUUUUUGUAUUUUUCUAUUUUGUUCCUUCUUCAAAGAUACAAUUUUUUACUUCCAAGUCAUUCCUAACAGUAACAUCCAUGACUCGGCAAACCAACCCAGGGACACUACCUCAACAUGAUUUAUUGUAAUUCCAAAACCUGAGAGGGUGUAAGCGAGAGAAUUCCGAGUCACGAAUCAAUGUUGACCUGUUAAAGCAGGCUUCCUAAUCCUAACCCACAGCUGAUGCAAU